AUCCAAACUCCCAAAACCAUGUCAGACGAUCAAGAUAGGCUCGUCUCUUGUUUCUGCGAAACAACAGGUCUUGAUCCGGGAAGAGCUAGAUUCUAUCUUGAAGGCUCACAGUGGGAUCUACAAACAGCUCUCAGUAGUUACUUUGACGACGCACCAGACUCUCAUUCUCAUUCUGCAAGUGCGCCACAGCAUUUAUCAGCAUCUCGUGAUGUUGGUGGCUUCAGAACUAUGCAUGAUAUCUUGGCGUCACAUUCUAAUAAAUCAAGCGAUGAUGACAAAGAUGAAGGUCAGGAGUUUUAUGCUGGUGGAUCAGAGCAUGCCAGUGGAACUGUAAUAACUGGACCACCUAAGAAGGCUCCAACUGCAAGAGAGCUGGCUGAGGCUGUGUUUGAAGCUGGAAAGAGGCAAGGUGCUAAGUCUGUUGAUGAGGAAAGUGCAAGCAGACCAAAACAACCACAAAAGUUUAGAGGAACUGGAUACAGGUUAGGGGAAACUGCUGGAAACUCGGAGAAAAUUGCAGAUGAUACAGUUGAAGCUCUGCCAGAAGUGAGGCGCAAACUGACUUUUUGGGCAAAUGGGUUUUGUAUUGAUGAUGGUCCUUUACGGGAUGGCAGCUCAGACAAAGAUCGUGCUUUUAUCGAAAGCGUGACAAAAGGUCAAAUUCCAGACGAGUUGGUUUCAGAAGCUCAAGGAAGUGAAGUUCAUGUCAAUGUGGAAGAUCGCCGUGAAGAGCAGUAUAGGCAACCUAAGCCUGUUCUUAAACCAUUUUCUGGUGAAGGUCAUAAACUGGGAAAUCCAGACAUUGGUGACACAUCAGUGGCAGCUCGUGGUCUGGCAGCAACAAGUGCAAAUGUGGUUGUUGCCGGUUUUUCAAGUCACAUGUCUGUUGAUUCAAGUCAACCUUGCACUUCAAUUCAGAUUCGUUUGGCAAAUGGAACAAGUCUUGACUUCCUAACGCUCUGUAAUGUUGCGUAUUGAAGCUUAGUUCCUCACAAGCCAAGUUUUCUAGCUGGCUUAUAUUCAAGACAGGCUUCACUUCAAGUCAGGCUUCUAUGCAGUGAUUCUUUGUCAUUGCUAACACUUUAGCUGGUUUCUCACUCCACUAGUUUUGUAAUCAAAUCUGACUGGCAUCCAAUUUUGAAUAGAACAAUGUGUAGGAUUACAGAACAGCCACAACAACAACAAAAACAACAACAACAACAACAACAACAGUAAAAGAUACCACAAACUAACCCUAACAAUGCUUUCAUCCAUCGAAUGUGCUUUUGUUGCUGCAAGGUAAGAACUGUCUUUUCACCCUUGGCCACAGCAUGCUGCCUUGAAGGUAACAGUGUACUGUUUCCUUUUGCUGUGGUCUCUGUUCAUGACAGUUGGCAAACAAAAUGGAGCAGAGAGUAGAAAAGUGUACCAGCAGCUGACUGAUACUUGCAAAUCACAUGCGGACGAUUGGCCAAAUAGCUUCUCAUUUACAAGUCUUGGCUUUUAUUUAAGAUCGGCUACCAUGCCAGAGACAAUGUCGAAAACAUCAGCUUCUAUUUGAGACCAGCUUCUAUUCAAGUUGGCUUUAACACAGUUUAUGACUAUCAACUCAGUUUAAUCACAGCCACACUGUUGGAGAUAUACGAAAAUACAUAGAAAGUUGCAGCCCAAUCAACCAAACAUACAUAUUGAUGACGACGUUUCCAAACAAAGAGUUGAGCGAUACCAGCCAGACAAUAGCAGAUGCAAAGUUACUGAAUACAGUUAUCGUACAAAAGCUGACAUAGAAUCUUACAUGUCUGUCUUCAGUUAUUUGCGUUUAGCUUGGAAUGUGUUAGAUGAUACAUGUAGCUGCAGUGGUAUUAUUGUUGAUGCAUAAGUCUAAAUUACCGACAUGUACAAUA